rnacentral:ncRNA from 1 species
UCGGACACCGUGAGGAUUGACAUUGAGGGCUCUUUCUUGAUUCUGUGGGUGGUGGUGCAUGGCCGUUCUUAGUUGGUGGAGCGAUUUGUCUGGUUAAUUCCGAUAACGAAAGAGGCUUGCUAAAUAGUUACGCGACCAUCUUGCCCGAAAGGCUUUGAACUAAAUAAUGGUUUUGUGAAAUAAUUUUAGCAACAUCGUCUUUAAAUACAAGAAAUGGCAAUAGGUUGUUAAACUAACUAUGAUA